GGUUAAGCGACUAAGCGUACACGGUGGAUGCCCUGGCAGUCAGAGGCGAUGAAGGACGUGCUAAUCUGCGAUAAGCGUCGGUAAGGUGAUAUGAACCGUUAUAACCGGCGAUUUCCGAAUGGGGAAACCCAGUGUGUUUCGACACACUAUCAUUAACUGAAUCCAUAGGUUAAUGAGGCGAACCGGGGGAACUGAAACAUCUAAGUACCCCGAGGAAAAGAAAUCAACCGAGAUUCCCCCAGUAGCGGCGAGCGAACGGGGAGGAGCCCAGAGCCUGAAUCAGUGUGUGUGUUAGUGGAAGCGUCUGGAAAGGCGCGCGAUACAGGGUGACAGCCCCGUACACAAAAAUGCACAUGCUGUGAGCUCGAUGAGUAGGGCGGGACACGUGGUAUCCUGUCUGAAUAUGGGGGGACCAUCCUCCAAGGCUAAAUACUCCUGACUGACCGAUAGUGAACCAGUACCGUGAGGGAAAGGCGAAAAGAACCCCGGCGAGGGGAGUGAAAAAGAACCUGAAACCGUGUACGUACAAGCAGUGGGAGCACAGAGCAAUCUGUGUGACUGCGUACCUUUUGUAUAAUGGGUCAGCGACUUAUAUUCUGUAGCAAGGUUAACCGAAUAGGGGAGCCGAAGGGAAACCGAGUCUUAACUGGGCGUUAAGUUGCAGGGUAUAGACCCGAAACCCGGUGAUCUAGCCAUGGGCAGGUUGAAGGUUGGGUAACACUAACUGGAGGACCGAACCGACUAAUGUUGAAAAAUUAGCGGAUGACUUGUGGCUGGGGGUGAAAGGCCAAUCAAACCGGGAGAUAGCUGGUUCUCCCCGAAAGCUAUUUAGGUAGCGCCUCGUGAAUUCAUCUCCGGGGGUAGAGCACUGUUUCGGCAAGGGGGUCAUCCCGACUUACCAACCCGAUGCAAACUGCGAAUACCGGAGAAUGUUAUCACGGGAGACACACGGCGGGUGCUAACGUCCGUCGUGAAGAGGGAAACAACCCAGACCGCCAGCUAAGGUCCCAAAGUCAUGGUUAAGUGGGAAACGAUGUGGGAAGGCCCAGACAGCCAGGAUGUUGGCUUAGAAGCAGCCAUCAUUUAAAGAAAGCGUAAUAGCUCACUGGUCGAGUCGGCCUGCGCGGAAGAUGUAACGGGGCUAAACCAUGCACCGAAGCUGCGGCAGCGACACUGUGUGUUGUUGGGUAGGGGAGCGUUCUGUAAGCCUGUGAAGGUGUGCUGUGAGGCAUGCUGGAGGUAUCAGAAGUGCGAAUGCUGACAUAAGUAACGAUAAAGCGGGAUGAAARAGCCCGCUCGCCGGAAGACCAAGGGUUCCUGUCCAACGUUAAUCGGGGCAGGGUGAGUCGACCCCUAAGGCGAGGCCGAAAGGCGUAGUCGAUGGGAAACAGGUUAAUAUUCCUGUACUUGGUGUUACUGCGAAGGGGGGACGGAGAAGGCUAUGUUGGCCGGGCGACGGUUGUCCCGGUUUAAGCGUGUAGGCUGGUUUUCCAGGCAAAUCCGGAAAAUCAAGGCUGAGGCGUGAUGACGAGGCACUACGGUGCUGAAGCAACAAAUGCCCUGCUUCCAGGAAAAGCCUCUAAGCAUCAGGUAACAUCAAAUCGUACCCCAAACCGACACAGGUGGUCAGGUAGAGAAUACCAAGGCGCUUGAGAGAACUCGGGUGAAGGAACUAGGCAAAAUGGUGCCGUAACUUCGGGAGAAGGCACGCUGAUAUGUAGGUGAAGUCCCUCGCGGAUGGAGCUGAAAUCAGUCGAAGAUACCAGCUGGCUGCAACUGUUUAUUAAAAACACAGCACUGUGCAAACACGAAAGUGGACGUAUACGGUGUGACGCCUGCCCGGUGCCGGAAGGUUAAUUGAUGGGGUCAGCGCAAGCGAAGCUCUUGAUCGAAGCCCCGGUAAACGGCGGCCGUAACUAUAACGGUCCUAAGGUAGCGAAAUUCCUUGUCGGGUAAGUUCCGACCUGCACGAAUGGCGUAAUGAUGGCCAGGCUGUCUCCACCCGAGACUCAGUGAAAUUGAACUCGCUGUGAAGAUGCAGUGUACCCGCGGCAAGACGGAAAGACCCCGUGAACCUUUACUAUAGCUUGACACUGAACAUUGAGCCUUGAUGUGUAGGAUAGGUGGGAGGCUUUGAAGUGUGGACGCCAGUCUGCAUGGAGCCGACCUUGAAAUACCACCCUUUAAUGUUUGAUGUUCUAACGUGGACCCGUGAUCCGGGUUGCGGACAGUGUCUGGUGGGUAGUUUGACUGGGGCGGUCUCCUCCUAAAGAGUAACGGAGGAGCACGAAGGUUGGCUAAUCCUGGUCGGACAUCAGGAGGUUAGUGCAAUGGCAUAAGCCAGCUUGACUGCGAGCGUGACGGCGCGAGCAGGUGCGAAAGCAGGUCAUAGUGAUCCGGUGGUUCUGAAUGGAAGGGCCAUCGCUCAACGGAUAAAAGGUACUCCGGGGAUAACAGGCUGAUACCGCCCAAGAGUUCAUAUCGACGGCGGUGUUUGGCACCUCGAUGUCGGCUCAUCACAUCCUGGGGCUGAAGUAGGUCCCAAGGGUAUGGCUGUUCGCCAUUUAAAGUGGUACGCGAGCUGGGUUUAGAACGUCGUGAGACAGUUCGGUCCCUAUCUGCCGUGGGCGCUGGAGAACUGAGGGGGGCUGCUCCUAGUACGAGAGGACCGGAGUGGACGCAUCACUGGUGUUCGGGUUGUCAUGCCAAUGGCACUGCCCGGUAGCUAAAUGCGGAAGAGAUAAGUGCUGAAAGCAUCUAAGCACGAAACUUGCCCCGAGAUGAGUUCUCCCUGACCCUUUAAGGGUCCUGAAGGAACGUUGAAGACGACGACGUUGAUAGGCCGGGUGUGUAAGCGCAGCGAUGCGUUGAGCUAACCGGUACUAAUGAACCGUGAGGCUUAACCUUACAACGCCGAAGGUGUUUUG
rnacentral:rRNA from 1 species